UAAAUCGAUGACUUUCCACCAAAUGAAAUGACCAGCAAUUAAAGCAGGGCCGCACAUAAAUAACCUUGGGCGGUGACUUGACUUUCUUGGCUGAAGGAGCGGUGGAAAUUCUGUAUAAACACACCCCCUCCGUUGCGUUGCAAUGAACUUCAGUAGUUAUUAUUUUGCUCACUGACUACCAAUCUUGCAGGUCAAACCAGGGUCAGCCUGCAAAAAUAUAUAGUGUGUGGACUUACUUGAGAUGAACUGAAAAUUGUAACAAAAACCGUUACGAUUUAACGGUUCCGUCAGCUCCGUUAGAGUAUAUAAAAGAGCAAGUAUCGCCAAUUUGUACGCAUGGUUUCAUUUUAAUAAAAGGCCAAAGGACUAUUUCCCACCCAA